rnacentral:rRNA from 1 species
CGGUCCAGACUCCUACGGGAGGCAGCAGUAGGGAAUCUUCCGCAAUGGGCGAAAGCCUGACGGAGCAACGCCGCGUGAGUGAUGAAGGUCUUCGGAUCGUAAAACUCUGUUAUUAGGGAAGAACAUACGUGUAAGUAACUGUGCACGUCUUGACGGUACUUAAUCAGAAAGCCACGGCUAACUACGUGCCAGCAGCCGCGGUAA